CCUACGGGAGGCAGCAGUAGGGAAUCUUUCACAAUGGGCGAAAGCCUGAUGGAGCAACGCCGCGUGCAGGAUGAAGGCCUUCGGGUUGUAAACUGCUUUUAUAAGCGAGAAAUAUGAUGGUAAGUUAUGAAUAAGGAUCGGCUAACUACUUGCCCGCAUCCGCGGUCAUAUGUAGGCUCCGAGCAUUAUCCGGAGUGACUGGGGGUAAAGAGUGGCGUAGGUGGCAUAAUAAGUAGCUAGGGAAAUCGGGUGGCUCAACCAUUCAGACUAUUAGCUAAACUGUUAAGCUCGAGACCGUUAGGGGUAACUGGAAUGUCUAGUGUAGGAGUGAAAUCCGUAGAUAUUAGACGGAACACCAAGAGCGUAGGCAGGUUGCUGGGACGGUUCUGACACUAAGGCACGAAAGCGUAGGGAGCAAACGGGAUUAGAUACCCUGGUAGUC
rnacentral:rRNA from 1 species